rnacentral:rRNA from 1 species
CCUACGGGAGGCAGCAGUGGGGAAUAUUGGACAAUGGGGGCAACCCUGAUCCAGCCAUGCCGCGUGUGUGAAGAAGGCCCUCGGGUUGUAAAGCACUUUCAGUGAGGAAGAACGCCUGGUGGUUAAUACCCAUCAGGAAAGACAUCACUCACAGAAGAAGCACCGGCUAACUCCGUGCCAGCAGCCGCGGUAAUACGGAGGGUGCGAGCGUUAAUCGGAAUUACUGGGCGUAAAGCGCGCGUAGGUGGCUUGAUAAGCCGGUUGUGAAAGCCCCGGGCUCAACCUGGGAACGGCAUCCGGAACUGUCAAGCUAGAGUGCAGGAGAGGAAGGUAGAAUUCCCGGUGUAGCGGUGAAAUGCGUAGAGAUCGGGAGGAAUACCAGUGGCGAAGGCGGCCUUCUGGACUGACACUGACACUGAGGUGCGAAAGCGUGGGUAGCAAACGGAUUAGAUACCCGUGUAGUC